CUGAUUAUGUCCCACUCUCUGGUCAUCUCAUUUUAGCAUCAUGACUUCAUUUUAGUUCUCUUCUAGGCCCCCAAAGUAUCAAUCUUGGCCAUCACUAUUAAGCAUCAGCUAUGAAGCUUCUUGUACUUGGAAGGAAGGUAGUACGAAGGAUCCACCUCAAGAGCGCUAUAGAUAUACAAGUACAUGUUCAGCAAGCUCAGUUGAUCGGAUUACCAUGGCAGGAAAUACCGCUGAUGCCACUUUUAGAUCAAUAGACUCACCGCAGAGUGAUUAUACCACCUUUGAAUUUUCCGAGCUUUUGGAGUUUGAUGAGUGGGCAGAGGAAGAUCUGACAAAGAUGGUUUCUGGGUACCCCAUGAAUCCGGUUUAUGCAGCAAAUGAAGCCGGGAACUCCAUUGGAACUAGCACCCGCCUUGAAGGACCUGAUGGCAGUAAGCAACUCGCUGACAUGUUUUUUUUUCUAGUAAUAAAUGAAUGUUGAGAUGUAUGGACUUGUUAGCAAACUUUCAUAUAUCUAAACUACUUAACAUAUUCAUGUAGAACACACUUGCACACGCACAGAUAUGUAUAUCAACAGAGUAGGAAUAUGCAAACUUCGUUGAUUAAUAUGCUGAUUUUUUGUUAUUAGGGGUCAGUGGGAGCGGACGGGAGAAGAAGGAUAGUAAAGACAGAGUUGCUUUUAAAACAAUGUCGGAGGUUGAAAUUCUAGAUGACGGUUUUAAAUGGAGGAAGUAUGGGAAAAAGAUGGUGAAAAACAGCCCAAAUCCAAGGUAAAGUAACAAUAAUUACAUCAAGCAGUAGCAUCCAUAACAACACAUUUGUUUGCACUAUUAUUAUUUCUUAACAUGACACAGUUUCAGAUCUUAAUAUCAAACAAAAAACACUGAAAAGGUAGUUAGGUUACAUGCCCUUCUAAUUUUAAGUAAAAUCAAGUUGCAAGUUAAGCAUGUUAUAUGAUUAUGAUAAGAAUCACCAAAAAUAAAAACACAGAGGAGUUUAUAAUGCUUGCCUGACAGAUGAUGUCAUGAUAUAGACUUCAUGAGGACUACAAGCUUCAUUUGAAACUGAAUCCCAC
rnacentral:lncRNA from 1 species